rnacentral:rRNA from 1 species
GAUGAACGCUGGCGGCGUGCCUAAUACAUGCAAGUCGAGCGAACGGACGAGAAGCUUGCUUCUCUGAUGUUAGCGGCGGACGGGUGAGUAACACGUGGAUAACCUACCUAUAAGACUGGGAUAACUUCGGGAAACCGGAGCUAAUACCGGAUAAUAUUUUGAACCGCAUGGUUCAAAAGUGAAAGACGGUCUUGCUGUCACUUAUAGAUGGAUCCGCGCUGCAUUAGCUAGUUGGUAAGGUAACGGCUUACCAAGGCAACGAUGCAUAGCCGACCUGAGAGGGUGAUCGGCCACACUGGAACUGAGACACGGUCCAGACUCCUACGGGAGGCAGCAGUAGGGAAUCUUCCGCAAUGGGCGAAUGCCUGACGGAGCAACGCCGCGUGAGUUAUGAAGGUCUUCGGAUCGUAAAACUCUGUUAUUAGGGAAGAACAUAUGUGUAAGUAACUGUGCACAUCUUGACGGUACCUAAUCAGAAAGCCACGGCUAACUACGUG